rnacentral:rRNA from 1 species
CGCAUAGGAAUCUGCCUAAUAGUGGGGGACAACCUGUGGAAACGCAGGCUAAUACCGCAUACGCUCCUGAUUGAAAGAUGAGGAGGAAAGCGGGGGACCUUUCGGGGCCUCGCGCUACUAGAUGAGCCUAUGUCAGAUUAGCUAGUUGGUGAGGUAAUGGCUCACCAAGGCGACGAUCUGUAGCUGGUCUGAGAGGAUGAUCAGCCACACUGGGACUGAGACACGGCCCAGACUCCUACGGGAGGCAGCAGUGGGGAAUAUUGGACAAUGGGCGCAAGCCUGAUCCAGCAAUACCGCGUGUGUGAAGAAGGCCCGAGGGUUGUAAAGCACUUUCAAUUGGGAGGAACACCUGACCAGAUAAUAUCAGUCAGACUGAC